rnacentral:misc_RNA from 1 species
AACAAAUUCACCAUAAAAAUUUUUAGAGGAUUUCCAAAUAAGAGAGGUGAGGCUACAUCUCAGACAAGAACAUUUAAUUAGGCAUACAUGUCAUAAACCAAAAUGUUCUGCAUCAUAAAUGAGUAAUAUGGAUGAAAAGCAGGUGGGGCAGCAGAGGAAAGGCCACAGAGAGAUCAAAGAGAGAUGCAGGAAAAAACAAACAAACAAACUAAGCAGAUAGUAUCAAGUUGAUUUCGAACUGAACCUUUUACGCUUCAAAGCAAUGAAAAGAAGAGUUUUCUCCUUGUAUUUUGAUUCCAGCUGGUGAGAAUGGUCGGUUAGUUCUUUAAUUAACCGAUCAAAUAUUUCACCAACAAUUUCUCUUCCAAAGUGUUUGCUGAACAAUUCUUCCAUUGCAGCUCUUACAUGAACCACCCAUUCUCGCAUAUUAACUGGACCAUCAAGCCAAGGUGCAGGGUCUGUCAACUCCAUUCUCUCAAUGCUGAAACAAGCAUUUCUUUCUAUGAGCUUUGUCAUCUCCCCUGGAGAAACAGUAUAAAAUGGCAAGUUGAAAGAGUCUACUUGAGCUUCACUGAUUAAUCCCUGUAGGAAAGAUUGGUUAUUCAGAUUUACCCAAUGAAUGACAAGGUGAUAGUCACUUAGUUGUCUUCUGAGAAAUAGUUAAUAAUUACCAAGCGAGAAAUUAUCUAGAUUUAUAUGAUAAAGCAAGUAUGAACCCAUAUGCAUGUGUCGAGCAGAGUUUAGUGCAAACUACAUGGAAGUUCAAUUGAGAUUUUCUAUCCCUGCUGCAUCAUACAAACAGUCACUGAUUAGGUGCCCAUCCAGCAUAACAGGGUAGCCUCUUUCAACGUAAAAUGGCAACACCAUUGCUGAUGUUUUUAGUUUGUGAUUGUAAGCAACAAACUUAAUACCUGAUACUUCAGUUAUUUAUAACCAAUUUGAAAUGUUGUUAAUAGCAAAAGACUUAAAUCUAUUACCUUCUUCCUAGACAGACUUCUCAAACCACAUCAAUAUUUUGUCUAUAAUAUUAAAAUGAUUACAAAUGUAAACUAUUAUAGCAAAGCUAAUCCUGGAAAUACAAGCUGAUCACCACCUUACCUCUUUCACCAUAUUCAAAAGGCUCAAUGUCAUACAUUCAAACAGCAAGCUAUUAGGGAGCUCAGAAAAAGGCAUUCCACUGGGGAUACCUAGUGUGACUAUUAUCAUCAUCCCCCCAGUCAAAAGUUCUUCAGAUCUAGCAUUCAGAAAGUUUUCCAUGGCCUUGGCAAACUGAGAUGAAUAUGCAUUGACUACUUCAUUUGGAGCAUUUGCGUAGUGAACCCUUCCUUUGUUCCAUGCAUGAGAAUUCUCAUCUAACAACUCUUCUGGCACCUUAGACAGCCAAUGGAGUGACAUAGAGCAAUGCACAAAAUGGAGAGAGGAAUUGGGAAAUAAUCUGUCAUAGAAAGAACCCGGCACCCCAGCUGCAAAGUACUGCCUUUCUUGUGUAAGAGAGGUGAACAAGGUGUUGAAGUCAUUCAUUGCUUGAUCAUUAAAGAAAACUUGGAAUUCUGGCAUGUGAGAUGCAAAGCCCUGAUAGUAAGAGUUCCUGUAAUAGCUGUAAACGCAAUUUCCACCAACCAUUGCAGGUGAAUCUGUCUCCCAUUUCGGCAUCUUUGCCUUCGAGUGUUUACUUGUUUUCUCUGUAGAUGCAAAGAAAGAGUUCCAAGUAGUGAACACAUGAGCAUGAGCAUGCGCAUGAGGGCGUGAGGCUAUAUAACAGUUGAUCCAAUCCUCUACAAGUAACCCCAGAGAGAGAGAGAAAGAGCAAAAGGUUUGAACAGAAUUACAAUAAACAAAUUGGAGGACUCAAAAGCAACCAAAAGCAUUUACCACUCCCUGGAAACAGAAUGGAUCUUGCAUAUUAACAAUGGCUAAAUUGAUUAUUGAUGGAACCUUUUUGCAGCGCAUUUGAUAAGAUUCCCUGACUUCUCUGUCCCUAAACACUAAAGUGUCACUAUAAAGAACCUGUUAGUCGCAAGCAAUGACGCUAUGUUCUCAAACUUCUCAUAAUUACACAUUAUUUGGCUCCAAGAUUAGCGAAACAAGAAUAUUCCUUACCGUUAGCCUUAACCUGUACACACCCGGACAUGCAUCAGCGUCAACGCUUCAUUUAAACAAAACAACAAACACCUCACGAGCAGCCAAAACAAUUCGGCAACGUUGAGGGGCGCGUCCGGAUAAACGAAAGCUCCCAUCAUAGAAGUUUAGGAGAAAACAAUUCGCCUUGAUGAGUGAAAAAUUCCUGUUCUAUGAUACGCAAAUAUGCGAAUCCCAGUUAGAUGAGGAAGGGUCUAAGCAAAAAUUUCUCCCAGUUACAUACAACCUAUCAUAUAGUAAUUUUCAUAGAAAAAGUCAAGGGCCGAUAAGAGUAAGUUGAUUGACCUUCCUCCAAAUAUAAGAAUCCCAAAGUUGUAGAGGAAUUGAAUUGAAGGAACAUUGAUAGUUAGAGGUUAAGAUCAUGAGAGCUUGAAGCAAGGAAGAGGAAGGGGAGGCAUAACAUCAGGCUUUGAUCAUGGCAGCGAUUUGAAUUAUUGGAGAAGAGGAGACCGCGAGAAGCAUGAGGCAAGGGAAGGCAAGAAAGAUGAUGCAGCCCAUCCUUCAAAGCGAUAGGAGGCGACUGGCGACGUCAAAGAAGGAAAGAGCAGAUUGCAGACUAGAUGCAAGAGGAGAUUUGGG